rnacentral:rRNA from 1 species
UGGGGAAUAUUGGACAAUGGGCGCAAGCCUGAUCCAGCCAUGCCGCGUGAGUGAUGACGGCCUUAGGGUUGUAAAGCUCUUUCGCACGCGACGAUAAUGACGGUAGCGUGAGAAGAAGCCCCGGCUAACUUCGUGCCAGCAGCCGCGGUAAUACGAAGGGGGCUAGCGUUGUUCGGAAUCACUGGGCGUAAAGGGCGCGUAGGCGGCUUUGUAAGUCGGGGGUGAAAGCCUGUGGCUUAACCACAGAAUUGCCUUCGAUACUGCAUGGCUUGAGACCGGAAGAGGUAAGUGGAACUGCGAGUGUAGAGGUGAAAUUCGUAGAUAUUCGCAAGAACACCAGUGGCGAAGGCGGCUUACUGGUCCGGUUCUGACGCUGAGGCGCGAAAGCGUGGGGAGCAAAACAGGAUUAGAUACCCUGGUAGUCCACGCCGUAAAACGAUGAAUGCCAGCCGUUGGACAGCUUUGCUGUUCAGUGGCGCAGCUAACGCUUUAAGCAUUCCGCCUGGGGAGUACGGUCGCAAGAUUAAAACUUAAAGGAAUUGACGGGGUCAUAGCUGUUUCCU